GAAAGCUAUUUAGGUAGCGCCUCGUGAAUUCAUCUCCGGGGGUAGAGCACUGUUUCGGCAAGGGGGUCAUCCCGACUUACCAACCCGAUGCAAACUGCGAAUACCGGAGAAUGUUAUCACGGGAGACACACGGCGGGUGCUAACGUCCGUCGUGAAGAGGGAAACAACCCAGACCGCCAGCUAAGGUCCCAAAGUCAUGGUUAAGUGGGAAACGAUGUGGGAAGGCCCAGACAGCCAGGAUGUUGGCUUAGAAGCAGCCAUCAUUUAAAGAAAGCGUAAUAGCUCACUGGUCGAGUCGGCCUGCGCGGAAGAUGUAACGGGGCUAAACCAUGCACCGAAGCUGCGGCAGCGACGCUUAUGCGUUGUUGGGUAGGGGAGCGUUCUGUAAGCCUGUGAAGGUGUACUGUGAGGUAUGCUGGAGGUAUCAGAAGUGCGAAUGCUGACAUAAGUAACGAUAAAGCGGGUGAAAAGCCCGCUCGCCGGAAGACCAAGGGUUCCUGUCCAACGUUAAUCGGGGCAGGGUGAGUCGACCCCUAAGGCGAGGCCGAAAGGCGUAGUCGAUGGGAAACAGGUUAAUAUUCCUGUACUUGGUGUUACUGCGAAGGGGGGACGGAGAAGGCUAUGUUGGCCGGGCGACGGUUGUCCCGGUUUAAGCGUGUAGGCUGGUUUUCCAGGCAAAUCCGGAAAAUCAAGGCUGAGGCGUGAUGACGAGGCACUACGGUGCUGAAGCAACAAAUGCCCUGCUUCCAGGAAAAGCCUCUAAGCAUCAGGUAACAUCAAAUCGUACCCCAAACCGACACAGGUGGUCAGGUAGAGAAUACCAAGGCGCUUGAGAGAACUCGGGUGAAGGAACUAGGCAAAAUGGUGCCGUAACUUCGGGAGAAGGCACGCUGAUAUGUAGGUGAAGUCCCUCGCGGAUGGAGCUGAAAUCAGUCGAAGAUACCAGCUGGCUGCAACUGUUUAUUAAAAACACAGCACUGUGCAAACACGAAAGUGGACGUAUACGGUGUGACGCCUGCCCGGUGC
rnacentral:rRNA from 1 species